UACGGGGGGGGCAAGCGUUGUUCGGAAUUACUGGGCGUAAAGGGCUCGUAGGCGGCCAACUAAGUCAGACGUGAAAUCCCUCGGCUUAACCGGGGAACUGCGUCUGAUACUGGAUGGCUUGAGGUUGGGAGAGGGAUGCGGAAUUCCAGGUGUAGCGGUGAAAUGCGUAGAUAUCUGGAGGAACACCGGUGGCGAAGGCGGCAUCCUGGACCAUGACUGACGCUGAGGAGCGAAAGCCAGGGGAGCAAACGGG
rnacentral:rRNA from 1 species